rnacentral:rRNA from 1 species
AUACGAAGGGGGCUAGCGUUGUUCGGAAUUACUGGGCGUAAAGCGCGCGUAGGCGGACUGAUCAGUUGGGGGUGAAAUCCCAGGGCUUAACCCUGGAACUGCCUCCAAUACUGUCAGUCUUGAGUUCGGGAGAGGUGAGUGGAAUUCCUAGUGUAGAGGUGAAAUUCGUAGAUAUUAGGAGGAACACCAGUGGCGAAGGCGGCUUACUGGCUCGAUACUGACGCUGAGGCGCGAAAGCGUGGGGAGCAAACAGGAUUAGAUACCCCUGUAGUCC